AUCCAAUCAAAUUGCGCCAUACAAAUAUGUUCGGUUAGAGCAAUGGCGGCGCCCAGUGACAAUACAUGUUGUCGACUUUGUCACGGCGUUUUGCCUAAAAAACAAAGAAGAACAAUUUUUGCCGAGACGUUCGGGGUUUUUAAUCAGCUGCUAGAGGUAAUAGAUUGUGUUCCACACCCAGACGACGAUGGGAGCAACCAUGUUUGCGGUAUCUGUUGGAAUAAACUGAACAAACUGUCGAAACUUGAACACGACAUAAAAACGAAACGUGAAUCCUUAAAAGCAGAUAGGUUGGAAUUAAUUCGGACUUUAAGGCAGAAAUACCUAGGAGAAUUUUCUUUGCAACAGCCUAGAAUGUGGACACCAAAGUCGAAAAAACAUAACAUUAUCCAUUCGCCAACGCCGAGAAAAGUGAAAUAACUGUUCGUUCCAUCUAGUCAGUCAGAUUUAACAGGGUCAACCACAAUCUCAGAUAGCCAAGCGUCGUGCUUGGCUAUCUGGAAAGGAAAACAGAGCCAAAAUUCAGUUGUUUUCCCUAAGUAAAAUCAAGGUUGUAUUUAGAGGUAAAAAGGAAUCUGUUAAAUCUAAAGUGAUUCCAGCUGGGGUGUACCAGGACAUCAUCAGGGGAAUGUCAAGAGGUGAAUCCCACCAGAGAAUAUCACAGCUUCUCUACAUCUCCAGUUUGAAAGAAAAUAGCUGUAACUCUGUUCUCAAAGAUCUAAAAAAAAAGCUAUCCAAACUUUCAUUAACUAAGACUGGUUCAUGUCUAAGAAGAACAUCAAGUGAUGAUUUGGCCACAGUGAACUUUGAAACAUGGAAUUUAGAGUUCCAACUGUUCUCUCCUGUCCUAUUCAAGAUAAUUUCUGGUGUCUUUGACGAUCAAAAAUCUGUAGCCGUUGCUGUGAUUUCUGCUAUUAUUCAGAAACAGAAAAACAUGCAUAUGUCUGCAUUUCAUCAUGCCGUAUCUCAAGCUUUAGAAAAUGGUGGUGCAACAGAUGAGUGCAUAAAUCUUCUGAACAAGCUUGGUCUUUGUGUGUCAUCAUCUGCUGCUGCAAAGAAGAAGACAGACUUCAUAGCAAGACAAACUGAUCAUAUUCAGAAACUUGUCAUAUCAGAAAAGAUAGCCCUUGAACAAAAUACAGAUUCUCUACCAGCAGUUCUACAAGGCUUCAUCUACAAAUGACCGUGGAACUCUUUCCCAACUUAAUAAACAGUGUUCACAGAGUUGAUGUCAAGUGAUCAAACAGAUUUAUUGAAAGCAAUUGGCUACUACAAUACAUAUAUAAGUAUUACAAAAUCUAGGAUUUAAAAUUAUUUUUUUUCAAAAUUAGCUUUCAUCAUGUUCAUUGGAAUAUUUCAUCUCAAAUUUGUUAUUGGAACUUAUCAGCAAAAAAUCUGUAUGUAUCCAUGACUUUAGAUUUCAAAUAAAAGACCUUAGUCAAAAUAUACCAAGCUUCAAUUACAAUUGCGUGUACUCUUCAACUUCAGAUGAAUAUCAUCCUGUUUCAUUGAUUUUAACUUAUCAAUUUCAAUUUUCUGCAAGCAAUUCAAUUUCUUUUUCAUUAACUUUUUGUAAUAUUUAAAAAUUCAAGACACUAUGAGGAUCUUAUGUUUGUUCAUAGGGCCCACUCAGCUUUUAUUGACGAUUGCUUAGAUGCUUUCAUAGUGGGAGCUUGCAUACAUAAUUUGGGCAUGGAAGACAUCGGAUCUGAACCAAAGUCCAGUCAAGUUCUCUUUGAGGCAGUCUCAUCUGAAGACAAGGUGCAAUUCAUUGCAAAUAUUGCUUUAGAAAUACAGAGGAAGUAUAUCAAUCUGGAAAAUGAUUUGCACACCUUGGAACACACUUCUGAAGAACUUGAUAUGCAGGAGCAGCAAAUCAAGGACAUGUUUGAUGAAGGUGAAGGGAAAUACUCGUGUGUUGAAUGUCGGCGACCUUACAAGACACGUGGACAUUUGAAAAAUCAUCUUGUAAGAGAACACGAUUGGCAGCUAUAUCAACAGAACCAAGAUGCUGGUGAAAAUCUUGAUCGAGUCGCCCUUUAUAGGGCAUCAUUUAUGAAAUGUGCUCUUUUACUUAGAGACACCAGUGAUGCCUAUCAACUCGGAGAUGGUAAUAGAAUUAUGAACAAUUCUAAAUUUCAAAUGCUUCUCUCAGGGAUCGGACAUCACACAAAAUACCAAUUAUGGCUAUUCAGAUUUUUAGCAAAUUUUCACUGCUUGCUUAGUCCGAGAGAAGCGUACGAGUGCAAAUGGAACUGCACUACCAACUUAAAAGGAGGAGCAGGUCAUAACAUUCCCAAUGAUAAUUUGGUAGAGAUUUUAGUUCAUCGACUUAAAGCAAAGCUGCAAUCCCAAGGAUCCAAUGUAACUUAUAAAAGUGCCCGAUAAUCAGCAUUAACUCUCCAAAUUCAGGAUGAGAUCAGGGAAAAUUUAAUUGAAAAGUCUGGCCUGAAAAAACCUGGCACCACUCGCCCAGCCCGUGCCAACAACGACAUUGUUCUUAUGGUGAAUGAGUUGUCUGCUGGAAAUGUGUUCAGUUAUAUUCCAGAGAUAAAAUAUGACAAUUUUAAAUCUUUUUGUGACAUGUUUUCAAGAGUAAUCGUAGUAAAUUUGCACAAGUGGUUGAAUAAACAAAAAGACAGACUGUCAUAUGAAACCAUAUGAGGAUAUGUCACGUAAGCACGUAAUUAAAGAAAUGAAAUCUAUUGUUUUUAUUGUUUAAUUUUUUUUAAAUAUUUGGAGGAUAUACAUGUACAUUAAUUACAAAAUUCGCAAUCUCUUUUUUUUUCAUAAUAAAAAGCAUACCAGUUCUGAGAGG
rnacentral:misc_RNA from 1 species